UACCGGAUGUGCCCUUCGGGGGAAAGAUUUAUCGCCAUUGGAGCGGCCCGCGUCUGAUUUGCCCGUGGGUGGGGUAAAGGCCCACCAAGGCGACGAUCAGUAGCUGGUCUGAGAGGAUGAUCAGCCACAUUGGGACUGAGACACGGCCCAAACUCCUACGGGAGGCAGCAGUGGGGAAUCUUGCGCAAUGGGCGAAAGCCUGACGCAGCCAUGCCGCGUGAAUGAUGAAGGUCUUAGGAUUGUAAAAUUCUUUCACCGGGGACGAUAAUGACGGUACCCGGAGAAGAAGCCCCGGCUAACUUCGUGCCAGCAGCCGCGGUAAUACGAAGGGGGCUAGCGUUGCUCGGAAUUACUGGGCGUAAAGGGAGCGUAGGCGGACUGUUUAGUCAGAGGUGAAAGCCCAGGGCUCAACCUUGGAAUUGCCUUUGAUACUGGCAGUCUUGAGUACGGAAGAGGUAUGUGGAACUCCGAGUGUAGAGGUGAAAUUCGUAGAUAUUCGGAAGAACACCAGUGGCGAAGGCGACAUACUGGUCCGUUACUGACGCUGAGGCUCGAAAGCGUGGGGAGCAAACAGGAUUAGAUACCCUGGUAGUCCACGCCGUAAACGAUGAGUGCUAGUUGUCGGCAUGCAUGCAUGUCGGUGACGCAGC
rnacentral:rRNA from 1 species